rnacentral:lncRNA from 1 species
AGAGACUAAGGGUAGUCACAUGGGUGAACAGAAUGUCUGAAUGGCCAACUCCCAGUAAAAACUCUGGAUAACAAAGCUUGGAGGGAGAGGAAAAGGCCCACUGCCUGCUUGUCAGGGCUCCUGGAUCACGCCCUGCCGCCUGCUGACCUAUAUUGGACUCAAGCCCUUCUUCUGGCAUGCUCACCUGUUAACCCACGUAUCAACCCACACCUCAGACUGCUGGCUGCUUCCCAUUGAGCCUGAAAUACUGUGCUAUCUGCCUGUACCCUUUUGCAUAAGCUGGGGUUGGGUUAUCUCAGAUUUCUACUUGGGCCUGGUCAAGAUUGCCACAUACCUCACCUCUUCUGUUCUGGUCCUCAUCCUGUGUUCCUGGACAAAAAUAACAUUUGAGUAGAAAGCUUUUCUACUUGUUGACGUAGUUGAACAGAUUUUGCUUUAAUGAGAUGAAAUGGAGCCUAAAUUUAUCUGGAAAUGUGUGGAAUCAGUAGAGAGAAGUAAACACAACUCGAGGAAAGCGGGAAACCCCUGUGUACAAUUCAACUUUUUCACUCCCAGGGAGUUGGGCAUGAUUGUAAAGAAUGAUGUUUUCAAGCCUGCCGAUAACAGAACACGUCUGUAUCCAUUGUGGAUGGGCUUCUGUUGAGAAAGCUUCCUUUUCGCCCAAGUAGAGAAGCUCUUCACUGCCCUAAGAUCCUGCUUUCCUAUUCCCAUGUCAGAGCAGGAAAAGGUGUAUAUUUUUCACACAGAAUAGCCUCAUCCACUCCUAUGGGGAGUGAGAUAGUUCCUGUAGGGUGCUAGUGAUGGCAUAAAAUUACAGCUCACUAGAGAAACAGUUGCAAGUAAAGAAAUAUAUGCAUUUCCUCUAUUUGUCUUUCGUGUCCGUGUUGUCUAAGUUGCAAACAACAGAUUCCACUUUGGCUAGUUUAAAGGGACAAGAGGUUUAAUAAAGAAAAUUAAAUAGCUUAUAGAAUCACUGGGCAACCAGAGAAACAGAUUUAAGGCUAAGCUUCCAGAAACAUAUCCCAAAACAUGCCCCCAAACCGUGACACUGACACGAAGAGACAGUUGUCAUUGCUGCUUUACUGAACAGAGGACUGAGAAUUUUUCUACAAUCACUGCUGUUCUCUGCACUGAUGGAAGCCAAGCCUGCCUGGAGAACUCAACUUUGCAACCCAAAGCUGGUGGCUUAUGUGGCUACCCCUACCAACAAAAUGGAAACUCCACCAGGUGUCUGAAUCCAGUUCUCACGACCAUUUAGUGGAGAAGGAAGAAACUGCAGGCCUUUUGGAGGUAUUUCCUUGUGAUUCUGGUCUAAUCCACCACCACCAUCUCACACUUAGAACCCUGCAAUCCUUCAUAUAAUUUGACCUCUUUUGGAUAUUUAAAUUGAAAAUAUGUGAAGAACUGAAGUCCCUUUAUUUUUACCCUCUUCUGUUAUUGGAGUCUUCUGCUAUUUGUACUUUAUGAUUUUACUUUAUGGCUUCUUCUAGGCCAGUUCCCCAUUGCUCUGCUUCACUGGGGUGACUGAGACCUUAAAAUAAGUUCUCAAUCAACUUGUGUAAACCAAA